rnacentral:tRNA from 1 species
GUCCUUGUAGCUUAUAUAAAGCAUGACACUGAAGAUGUCAAGAUGGCUGCUCAACACACCCGAGGACA